rnacentral:piRNA from 1 species
CGGAACUAGAUGGUUAUAGGGACGGCUCCA